GGGUCAGUAGGUUGGUCGUGCCACCGGUACGUAUUGGUCUCACUGACUCCUCCUUCCUGAGGAACCGUAAUGCCAUUAAUUUGGUGUUGCGGGGAAACAGGACUGUUACUUUGAAAAAAUUAGAGUGUUUAAAGCAAGCUAACGCUUGAAUACAUUAGCAUGGAAUAAUGAAAUAGGACGAUCGAUCCUAUUUUGUUGGUUUCUAGGAUUGACGUA
rnacentral:rRNA from 1 species